rnacentral:rRNA from 1 species
UACGUAGGGUGCAAGCGUUGUCCGGAAUUAUUGGGCGUAAAGAGCUCGUAGGCGGCUUGUCGCGUCGGCUGUGAAAACCCGGGGCUCAACCCCGGGCCUGCAGUCGAUACGGGCAGGCUAGAGUCCGGUAGGGGAGACUGGAAUUCCUGGUGUAGCGGUGAAAUGCGCAGAUAUCAGGAGGAACACCGGUGGCGAAGGCGGGUCUCUGGGCCGGAACUGACGCUAAGGAGCGAAAGCGUGGGGAGCGAACAGG